CCUACGGGUGGCUGCAGUGGGGAAUAUUGGGCAAUGGGCGCAAGCCUGACCCAGCAACGCCGCGUGAAGGAAGAAGGCUUUCGGGUUGUAAACUUCUUUUCUCAGGGACGCAGCAAGUGACGGUAUCUGAGGAAUAAGCCACGGCUAACUACGUGCCCGCAGCCGCGGUAAGACGGAGGUGGCAAGCGUUAUCCGGAUUUACUGGGGGUAAAGGGCGUGUAGGCGGGAAAGCAAGUCAGAUGUGAAAACCAUGGGCUCAAACUGUGGCCUGCAUUUGAAACUGGUUUUCUUGAGUACUGGAGAGGCAGACGGAAUGCCUAGUGUAGCGGUGAAAUGCGUAGAUAUUAGGAAGAACACCAGUGGCGAAGGCGGUCUGCUGGACAGCAACUGACGCUGAGGCGCGAAAGCGUGGGGAGCAAACAGGAUUAGAUACCCGUGUAGUC
rnacentral:rRNA from 1 species